GACCCGAGCCUGCGCACACAAGAGGAUGCGCACCUGGUUGCCAUCUUUGAUGCUGGCAUGCCAACUUACUCUCCUCCAAAGCACGGAAGUAGCUGUGGAGGGCGUCACGUUAUGUUGAAGCAAAAAGGACCGAGUAACUUCUAAAUUGGAAAGUCCUUGAAACCUCGCCUGUAAUACAGAUACGGUUUGCCAGUUAACCUGUAGCGAGAUAAGGAGCUCUUUUCACACAACAGAUUAUAAAAUAGGGAGUUUUGGUACACUUGGACCAGCCCUUCGCAAGGAGCACAACUAAGGUGUCAAUUAGAAUAGAAUCGGAAACUGGACAUGCUUAGAAAUGUGUCAACCUCUAUGUAAAGAUUUGUGGAAGUUCCUUCAAUAGAAUCCUCAUACUUCCUUUGUUGACGGGGAGCUUUGGCAAUGCCUCCUGCAGGCUUCUCACCGAUCACAGGUAAUACAUCUUUUCCCAUUCUUUUAUGUUUUGGCUGGGUUAUUUUUGGCUUUGAACUCACCUAGAUGCAAACAUUAUAUGUUGUAAGUCUGAGGACUUAAAAAUAUUGCCAAGGUAGGGUCGGGUGGUGGUGGCACACACCUUAAAUCCUAGCACUCAGGAGGCAGAGGGAGGCAGAUCUUUGUGAGUUCAAGGGCUAGUUCCAGGACAGCCUCCAAAGCCACAGAGAAACCCUGCUUCGAAACUCCCCCCCCAAAAAAAAAGUAUUGCCAAGGUAGAGAUCACAAGAAUUGUAUGCAAUAAAGAAUGGCUGAAAGGGAACAAGGCUAUCUCAACAGCACUGCAGUUUUAGAAUCCCAACCUUUUUUGUAGGUUGCUUAGAUGGCUCAGAAGUAGCAAAGGCUUGAUAAACUUUUUGGUUUCAUUUACUGCAGAGGUUUAGGUAUAACUUCCACGUGGAAAUAGAUUCCAGGGCCAUUUACGUGUGCCCAAAUCAUAAAACUCUGACAUUUGUUAUUUCUACUGUAUUAUUAAAACAAAGAGGAAAUAAAGUAUUUGGUGAGAUUUUU